AACGAACGCUGGCGGCAUGCCUAACACAUGCAAGUCGAACGAGACCUUCGAGUCUCGUGGCGCACGGGGGCGUGAAACGAGGGGACCUGCCCUUAGGUUUGCGGUAUAUCCCCGGGAGACGUGCUCAUACAGCAUAAGGUCUUCGCGCGAAAGAUUUAUCGCCCCUGGAUGGGCCCGCGUUUGAUUAGCUAGUUGGUGUGGUAAAAGCCCACCAAGGCGACGAUCCCUAGCUGGUCUGAGAGGAUGAUCAGCCACACUGGGACUGAGACACGGCCCAGACUCCUACGGGAGGCAGCAGUGGGGAAUAUUGGACAAUGGGGGCAAGCCUGAUCCAGCAAUGCCGCGUGAGUGAUGAAGGCCUUAGGGUUGUAAAGCUCUUUUGCCCGGGACGAUAAUGACGGUACCGGGAGAAUAAGCUCCGGCUAACUCCGUG
rnacentral:rRNA from 1 species